rnacentral:rRNA from 1 species
UACGUAGGGUGCAAGCGUUAAUCGGAAUUACUGGGCGUAAAGCGUGCGCAGGCGGUUUUGUAAGUCUGUCGUGAAAUCCCCGGGCUCAACCUGGGAAUUGCGAUGGAGACUGCAAGGCUAGAAUCUGGCAGAGGGGGGUAGAAUUCCACGUGUAGCAGUGAAAUGCGUAGAGAUGUGGGAGGAACACCGAUGGCGAAGGCAGCCCCCUGGGUCAAGAUUGGACGCUCAUGCACGAAAGCGUGGGGAGCAAACGAGG